rnacentral:rRNA from 1 species
AUUGAACGCUGGCGGCAGGCCUAACACAUGCAAGUCGAACGGUAGCACAGAGAGCUUGCUCUCGGGUGACGAGUGGCGGACGGGUGAGUAAUGUCUGGGAAACUGCCUGAUGGAGGGGGAUAACUACUGGAAACGGUAGCUAAUACCGCAUAACGUCGCAAGACCAAAGAGGGGGACCUUCGGGCCUCUUGCCAUCAGAUGUGCCCAGAUGGGAUUAGCUAGUAGGUGGGGUAACGGCUCACCUAGGCGACGAUCCCUAGCUGGUCUGAGAGGAUGACCAGCCACACUGGAACUGAGACACGGUCCAGACUCCUACGGGAGGCAGCAGUGGGGAAUAUUGCACAAUGGGCGCAAGCCUGAUGCAGCCAUGCCGCGUGUAUGAAGAAGGCCUUCGGGUUGUAAAGUACUUUCAGCGGGGAGGAAGGUGUUGUGGUUAAUAACCGCAGCAAUUGACGUAC